rnacentral:rRNA from 1 species
AUUGAACGCUGGCGGCAGGCCUAACACAUGCAAGUCGAGCGCCGCGGCGGAAGGGUGAGUAAUGCCUAGUAAUCUGCCUGGUGGUGGGGUAUACCUCCGGGAAACAGGCCAUAAUGCCGCAUACUAUCAGAUCAGCCUAGGUUGGCUUAGCUAGUUGGUGGGGUAAAGGCCUACCAAGGCGACGAGCCGUAACUGGUCUGAGAGGAUGAUCGGUCACACUGGAACGGAGACACGGUCCAGACUCCUACGGGAGGCAGCAGUGGGGAAUAUUGGGCAAUGGGCGAAAACCUGAUCCAGCCAUGCCGCGUGUGUGAAGAAGGUCUUCGGAUUGUAAAGCACUGUAAGUUGGGAGGCGUUACCAACAGAAUAAGCACCGGCUAACUUCGUGCCAGCAGCCGCGGUAAUUC